rnacentral:snRNA from 1 species
ACACUUACUUGGCAGAGGAGAUACAUCACACGAUCACUAAUGUGGUUUUCCCAGGGGGAGGCUUAUCCAUUGCACUCCAGUUGUGCUGACCUCUGUGAUUUCACAAAAUACAGGAAACUCAGCUGCAUAAUUUGUGGUAGUGCGGGACUGUGUUUGCGCUCUCUCUUG